rnacentral:rRNA from 1 species
UACAGAGGUCUCGAGCGUUAUCCGGAUUCACUGGGUUUAAAGGGUGCGUAGGCGGGCAGGUAAGUCAGAGGUGAAAUCUCCGGGCUUAACCCGGAAACUGCCUUUGAUACUAUCUGUCUUGAAUAUGGUGGAGGUAAGCGGAAUAUGUCAUGUAGCGGUGAAAUGCUUAGAGAUGACAUAGAACACCCAUUGCGAAGGCAGCUUACUACGCCUAUAUUGACGCUGAGGCACGAAAGCGUGGGGAUCAAACAGG